rnacentral:rRNA from 1 species
UGGGGGAUAUUGCGCAAUGGGGGCAACCCUGACGCAGCAACGCCGCGUGAAGGAUGAAGGUUUUCGGAUUGUAAACUUCUUUUAUUAAGGACGGAACUUGACGGUACUUAAUGAAUAAGCUCCGGCUAACUACGUGCCAGCAGCCGCGGUAAUACGUAGGGAGCAAGCGUUGUCCGGAUUUACUGGGUGUAAAGGGUGCGUAGGCGGCUUUGCAAGUCAGAUGUGAAAUCUAUGGGCUCAACCCAUAAACUGCAUUUGAAACUGUAGAGCUUGAGUGAAGUAGAGGCAGGCGGAAUUCCCCGUGUAGCGGUGAAAUGCGUAGAGAUGGGGAGGAACACCAGUGGCGAAGGCGGCCUGCUGGGCUUUAACUGACGCUGAGGCACGAAAGCGUGGGUAGCAAACAGGAUUAGAUACCCUGGUAGUCCACGCUGUAAACGAUGAUUACUAGGUGUGGGGGGUCUGACCCCUUCCGUGCCGGAGUUAACACAAUAAGUAAUCCACCUGGGGAGUACGGCCGCAAGGUUGAAACUCAAAGGAAUUGACGGGGGCCCGCACAAGCAGUGGAGUAUGUGGUUUAAUUCGAAGCAACGCGAAGAACCUUACCAGGUCUUGACAUCCAACUAACGAAGUAGAGAUACAUUAGGUGCCCUUCGGGGAAAGUUGAGACAGGUGGUGCAUGGUUGUCGUCAGCUCGUGUCGUGAGAUGUUGGGUUAAGUCCCGCAACGAGCGCAACCCUUGCUAUUAGUUGCUACGCAAGAGCACUCUAAUAGGACUGCCGUUGACAAAACGGAGGAAGGUGGGGACGACGUCAAAUCAUCAUGCCCCUUAUGACCUGGGCUACACACGUACUACAAUGGAUGUUAACAGAGGGAAGCAAGACAGCGAUGUGGAGCAAACCCCUAAAAACAUUCUCAGUUCAGAUUGCAGGCUGCAACCCGCCUGCAUGAAGAUGGAAUUGCUAGUAAUCGCGGAUCAGCAUGCCGCGGUGAAUACGUUCCC